GAUGAACGCUGGCGGCGUGCUUAACACAUGCCAGUCGAACGGAAAGGCCGAAGCUUGCUUCGGUACUCGAGUGGCGAACGGGUGAGUAACACGUGGGUGAUCUGCCCUGUACUUCGGGAUAAGCUUGGGAAACUGGGUCUAAUACCGGAUAUGACGAUCUCUUGGAUGGGGUUGUGGAAAGCUUUUGCGGUAUGGGAUGAGCUCGCGGCCUAUCAGCUUGUUGGUGGGGUAAUGGCCUACCAAGGCGUCGACGGGUAGCCGGCCUGAGAGGGUGUACGGCCACAUUGGGACUGAGAUACAGCCCAGACUCCUACGGGAGGCAGCAGUGGGGAAUAUUGCACAAUGGGCGCAAGCCUGAUGCAGCGACGCCGCGUGGGGGAUGACGGCCUUCGGGUUGUAAACUCCUUUCGCAAUCGACGAAGCCUUUUGGUGACGGUAGGUUGAGAAGAAGCACCGGCUAACUACGUG
rnacentral:rRNA from 1 species